AACGAACGCUGGCGGCAUGCCUAACACAUGCAAGUCGAACGAGACCUUCGGGUCUAGUGGCGCACGGGUGCGUAACGCGUGGGAACCUGCCCUUAGGUUCGGAAUAACUCCCCGAAAGGGGUGCUAAUACCGGAUAAUGUCUUCGGACCAAAGAUUUAUCGCCUUUGGAUGGGCCCGCGUUGGAUUAGCUAGUUGGUAGGGUAAAAGCCUACCAAGGCGACGAUCCAUAGCUGGUCUGAGAGGAUGAUCAGCCACACUGGGACUGAGACACGGCCCAGACACACAGGGGACGCAGCGGGGGAAAAGAGGGGACAGGGGGCGAGAGCCUGGUGCAGCAGUGCCGCGUGGGUAGUGAGGGCCUGAUGUGUGAUAAGCUUUGUUACCCGGGAUGAUAAUGACGGACGCGGGACAAUAGGCUCCGGCUAACCCCGCGCCAGCGGCAGCGGUAAUCAGAGGAAGAGCAGACGUCGGAAC
rnacentral:rRNA from 1 species